UGGGGAAUUUUGGACAAUGGGGGCAACCCUGAUCCAGCAAUGCCGCGUGUGUGAAGAAGGCCUUCGGGUUGUAAAGCACUUUUGUCCGGAAAGAAAACGCCGUGGUUAAUACCCGUGGCGGAUGACGGUACCGGAAGAAUAAGCACCGGCUAACUACGUGCCAGCAGCCGCGGUAAUACGUAGGGUGCAAGCGUUAAUCGGAAUUACUGGGCGUAAGCGUGCGCAGGCGGUCCGCUAAGACAGAUGUGAAAUCCCCGGGCUUAACCUGGGAACUGCAUUUGUGACUGGCGGGCUAGAGUAUGGCAGAGGGGGGUAGAAUUGCCACGUGUAGCAGUGAAAUGCGUAGAGAUGUGGAGAAUACCGAUGGCGAAGGCAGCCCCUGGGCCAAUACUGACGCNCAUGCACGAAAGCGUGGGGAGCAAACAGGAUUCAGAUACCCUGGUAGUCCACGCCCU
rnacentral:rRNA from 1 species